CUAACAAAAAAUGUUAUAACCCCGUGGUGCAGCGCAAUCUCGACAGCGCCGUGGAAUUGAUCAUCCCGGACGUUUAAUAUGAUCCCGAGGAAUGUUAUUCCACUUGUACGGCAAAGCAAACUCAAGCUGACUUUAUGAUAUUGGAGGUGGUUUUCAUCGUCUAAAACAUGUCAAAUCUGAUGCAAAAUUUGGUCGAUCGGACCAAAAUCCGGCGAAAAGCAUGACUUUUAGCCAAGGCGGGUGUCAAAUGUCUAUGUAACCACCAUUGCGUUUUUUGUACAUAAUGAAUGGUUUUUGGUCUACAGAAUUCGAUAUUUACGCCAGACGGCCGUUUAAAUGUCACUAAGGAAAGACUGUGGUGCUCUUAAACAAUUUCUGCGCAAAUGGUGCUUUCAACUGAAUUGCUCCAAAGGUUCUACCGUGACCACCAUUGAACUCUUUGACCUUUG
rnacentral:lncRNA from 1 species